GACGGAGGAUGCAAGCGUUAUCCGGAAUGAUUGGGCGUAAAGCGUCCGUAGGUGGCUGUUCAAGUCUGCUGUCAAAGACCGGGGCUUAACUUCGGAAAGGCAGUGGAAACUGAACAGCUAGAGUAUGGUAGGGGCAGAGGGAAUUCCUGGUGUAGCGGUGAAAUGCGUAGAGAUCAGGAAGAACAUCGGUGGCGAAGGCGCUCUGCUGGACCAUAACUGACACUCAGGGACGAAAGCUAGGGGAGCGAAUGGG
rnacentral:rRNA from 1 species